rnacentral:ncRNA from 1 species
GUCGGGAGGGCGGCUAAUAAAACACCUCGAAAGAGGAAAUACGCCCGGCCGGCUAGCUUCGGUUUCGAACCUCCCGACACCUUGCG